rnacentral:rRNA from 1 species
CACGGGGGGGGCAAGCGUUGUUCGGAAUUACUGGGCGUAAAGGGCUCGUAGGUGGCCAACUAAGUCGGACGUGAAAUCCCUCGGCUUAACCGGGGAACUGCAUCCGAUACUGGAUGGCUUGAGUUCGGGAGAGGGAUGCGGAAUUCCAGGUGUAGCGGUGAAAUGCGUAGAUAUCUGGAGGAACACCGGUGGCGAAGGCGGCAUCCUGGACCAACACUGACGCUGAGGAGCGAAAGCCAGGGGAGCAAACGGG